AAACUGCGAUACGUAGUGUGAAUUGCAGAAUUCAGUGAAUCAUCGAAUCUUUGAACGCAAAUUGCGCUGCUGGGGAUUCCCGGCAGCAUGCUUGGCUGAGUAUCAUCUGGACAAAUCGGCAAUUGCUUUUUUUUGUUAGAAAGGUGAUUGACCGGAAUUGAGGUUGUCGCACACGCUUGCAGUGUGGGUCCCUUCAAGUCUAGUCAAGGUUAGCAUGUAGCUAAAAUAUAUUCUUAGCGAUAUGUCUUAACCGCCAGUGUGUCAAAUUGUUUGCUGCCCUCUUUUUUUAAAAGAACAGCACAACAUUAGCACUGUUUGCGGAUCAUAUCAUUAGGGAAGCCCCAAAACUUUGAUCUCAGCUCAAGCAAGACUACCCGCUGAAUUUAA
rnacentral:misc_RNA from 1 species